rnacentral:rRNA from 1 species
GCAAGUCGAGCGGUAAGGCCCUUCGGGGUACACGAGCGGCGAACGGGUGAGUUACACGUGGGUGAUCUGCCUUGCACUCUGGGAUAAGCCUGGGAAACUGGGUCUAAUACCGGAUAUGACCUGCCUCUGCAUGGGGGUUGGUGGAAAGAUUUAUCGGUGCGAGAUGGGCCCGCGGCCUAUCAGCUUGUUGGUGGGGUAAUGGCCUACCAAGGCGACGACGGGUAGCCGGCCUGAGAGGGCGACCGGCCACACUGGGACUGAGACACGGCCCAGACUCCUACGGGAGGCAGCAGUGGGGAAUAUUGCACAAUGGGCGGAAGCCUGAUGCAGCGACGCCGCGUGAGGGAUGACGGCCUUCGGGUUGUAAACCUCUUUCGACAGGGACGAAGCGCAAGUGACGGUACCUGUAGAAGAAGCACCGGCCAACUACGUGCCAGCAGCCGCGGUAAUACGUAGGGUGCGAGCGUUGUCCGGAAUUACUGGGCGUAAAGAGCUUGUAGGCGGUUCGUCGCGUCGAUUGUGAAAACUUGCAGCUCAACUGCAAGCUUGCAGUCGAUACGGGCGGACUAGAGUACUUCAGGGGAGACUGGAAUUCCUGGUGUAGCGGUGAAAUGCGCAGAUAUCAGGAGGAACACCGGUGGCGAAGGCGGGUCUCUGGGAAGUAACUGACGCUGAGAAGCGAAAGCGUGGGUAGCGAACAGGAUUAGAUACCCUGGUAGUCCACGCCGUAAACGGUGGGUACUAGGUGUGGGUUU